rnacentral:rRNA from 1 species
UCCAANCUAANUGGUAGGAUAGAGGCCUACCAUGGUAUCAACGGGUAACGGGGAAUUAUGGUUCGAUUCCGGAGAGGGAGCCUGAGAAACGGCUACCACAUCCAAGGAAGGCAGCAGGCGCGCAAAUUACCCAAUCCCGACACGGGGAGGUAGUGACAAUAAAUAACAAUACAGGGCUCUAUUGGGUCUUGUAAUUGGAAUGAGUACAAUUUAAAUCCCUUAACGAGGAACAACUNGAGGGCAAGUCUGGUGCCAACAGCCGCNGUAAUUCCAGCUCCAGUAGCGUAUAUUAAAGUUGUUGCAGUUAAAAAGCUCGUAGUCGAACCUCGGGUCCGGCGGGAUGGUCCGCCUUACGGUGUGUACUGUCUUGCUGGAUCUUACCUCUUGGUGAAGCCUUAUGCCCUUUACUGGGUGUAGGGUCCAACCAGGAAUUUUACUUUUGAGAAAAUUAAGUUGUUCAAAGCAGGCAUUUGCCCCGAAUACAUUANCAUGGAAUAAUAGAAUANGACGUGCCGGUUCUUAUUUUGAUGGUUUUCUAGGNUNCGCCCGNNAUNAUUUAAUAAGGACCGGNNNGGGGGCAUUANUUUUCCCGUUUGCUAUAAGUUGAAAUUCUUUAGAUUUNCCNGAAAACCUANCUUUC